GAGCCAGGGCGGUCAAGGCUGCAGUGA
rnacentral:piRNA from 1 species